UGAUUUGGUCUCUGCUCUACUAGUGUCCAUCUUCCCAGAGCUUAUCUUCACUAAAGCUGGAAAGAUCUUAUACUGUGAGAAAGCGAUUCAAACAGCAGAUGAGUUGUCAAAAAUAAUGGCAUUCUUUUAUUACGGAGCAGCCAAACUGCCUAGCUUGAAUACCGUUAGAAAGAGUGAAGAACCAAUCCCUACCAUUUGAAUCAACAGCGAAUAGUGUCAGAAUAAAAGUGUACAUAACUAUAUAUAUGUAUGCUAUGGUUUGGAGAAUGAGUUUCUGGGUUAGCGAUGCUGUGUUUACCAUGUUGUUCCCCAUACAGAUCAAUGGACACCAUGAAAAUUUAGCUCAUAUGUACAUUCUAGGGGAGAUUUAUAACUACAUUUAGCAAUUGUUUGUUAAUUUCAGUGUGAAAACUGAAAAUUUUGUUAUUUAUGAACAAGAUGAAUAUGGAGUUUCUUUUUUU